GAUUAUGGCUCAGGAUGAACGCUGGCGGCGUGCCUAACACAUGCAAGUCGAACGAAGUAUAUAAUAUGAAGUUUCGGAUGGAUUAAUAUAUACUAGUGGCGGACGGGUGAGUAACGCGUGGGUAACCUGCCUCAUACAGGGGGAUAACAGUUGGAAACGGCUGCUAAAACCGCAUAAGCAUUACAUUGUCGCAUGACAGAGUGUGAAAAUAUUUAUAGGUAUGAGAUGGGCCCGCGUCUGAUUAGCUAGUUGGUGAGGUAAUGGCUCACCAAGGCGACGAUCAGUAGCCGGCUUGAGAGAGUGACCGGCCACAUUGGGACUGAGACACGGCCCAAACUCCUACGGGAGGCAGCAGUGGGGAAUAUUGCACAAUGGGGGAAACCCUGAUGCAAGCGACGCCGCGUGAGUGAAGAAGUAUUUCGGUAUGUAAAGCUCUAUCAGCAGGGAAGAAAAUGACGGUACCUGACUAAGAAGCCCCGGCUAACUGCGUGCCAGCCGCCGC
rnacentral:rRNA from 1 species